UGUUGAAAACAUUUUGUUCUAACCAUGUCAUAUUAUGUUGUUGGACUAUCAAUAUCAACUACUAACAAAGUUUAUCUAGUUAAGUUUUAAUUGACAAUCGAGUGACAUAGCAUAUCAGACUAGCAUUUACUUUUGGAAUAAUAAGAUAAGGCCAAACUCUAAAUAUAAAUUCAUUUUUGUGAAUUGGAAUGAAGGCUCUGUGAUGGCAUUGAUUGGAUCCUUUGCAGCAAUGCUAGUGGCUGUUGUCUUCCCAUGCGUGAGUUAUCUCAUGAUACUCGGGUAGAUUAACAAAAUUGCAGGUUGCAACCUGCAUUAUGAUUGUCAUUGUCGGGGUGGUGUGCUCCAUUAUUGGAGCAUAUUCUGCAAUUUCAAGAAUAGCUGAACAAUUUGUGGAGUGAAAUAGAAGGAAGAAUUUCGAGUCCCACCUGUAUACAAAUUUACAAAUCAUGAUUAGUGAGAAUUAAUUAUCUCAAGAUGUGCUCAUUCGUGUAACUACCGAUCAGCUUUACAACUUUCAACUGGGCUCUUAAUUCUUUCAGGAGUAUUUCUUCCUCAGUUAACACAGCCUAAUAUACAGAAGGGGCUUCGCCACAGGAUAGCUAGCUGAGAGAACGAAUGCGUGUCAUUCUAUUAUUGGUUUGUUCGACCAUGUAAUACAAAUUGUUGU